rnacentral:tRNA from 1 species
UCCCAAAUAGUCUAGGCGCUUGGAUACGUUGGUUUUACCCACGCGACCCGGGUUCGAGUCCCGGUUUGGGAA